rnacentral:rRNA from 1 species
AUUGAACGCUGGCGGAAUGCUUUACACAUGCAAGUCGAGCGGCAGCGCGGUCUUCGGACGGGCGGCGAACGGCGAACGGGUGAGUAAUACAUCGGAACAUGCCCAGUCGUGGGGGAUAACACUUCGAAAGAAGUGCUAAUACCGCAUACGUCCUGAGGGAGAAAGCGGGGGAUCGCAAGACCUCGCGCGAUUGGAGUGGCCGAUGUCAGAUUAGCUAGUUGGUGGGGUAAAGGCCUACCAAGGCAACGAUCUGUAGCUGGUCUGAGAGGAUGAUCAGCCACACUGGGACUGAGACACGGCCCAGACUCCUACGGGAGGCAGCAGUGGGGAAUUUUGGACAAUGGGGGCAACCCUGAUCCAGCCAUUCCGCGUGAGUGAAGAAGGCCUUCGGGUUGUAAAGGACUUUUGUCCGGGAGCAAAUGCCUGGUGUUAAUAGCACUGGGAGCUGAGAGUACCGGAAGAAUAAGCACCGGCUAACUACGUGCCAGCCGCCGCAGUAAGAC